CACCUCCUGGUGCUUACCACAGGCUGUUUUCUUACACUGACUUAUAGAAAGAGGAGGCAGAGAAAACCUACCCUAUGUACACCCCAGCCCAGGCCCCAUGCCUGGUCUGUAUUGUGAAUGGGGGAACAUGG
ensembl:snoRNA